AUUGAACGCUGGCGGCAGGCCUAACACAUGCCAGUCGAACGGUAACAGGAAGAUGCUUGCUUCUUUGCUGACGAGUGGCGGACGGGUGAGUAAUGUCUGGGAAACUGCCUGAUGGAGGGGGAUAACUACUGGAAACGGUAGCUAAUACCGCAGAAUUUCGCAAGACCAAAGAGGGGGACCUUCGGGCCUCUGGCCGUCGUGUGCGCCCAGAUGGGAUGAGCUAGUAGGUGGGGUAACGGCUCACCUAGGCGACGAGCUCUAGCUCGUCUGAGAGGAUGACCGGCCACACUGGAACUGAGACACGGUCCAGACUCCUACGGGAGGCAGCAGUGGGGAAUAUUGCACAAUGGGCGCAAGCCUGAUGCAGCUAUGCCGAGUGUAUGAAGAAGGCCUUCGGGUUGUAAAGUACUUUCAGCGGGGAGGAAGGGAGUACAGUUAAUACCUUUCCUGAUUGACGGUAACCGCAGAAGAAGCACCGGCUAACUACGUG
rnacentral:rRNA from 1 species